AUUGAACGUUGGCGGAAUGCUUUACACAUGCAAGUCGAACGGCAGCACGGACUUCGGUCUGGUGGCGAGUGGCGAACGGGUGAGUAAUACAUCGGAACGUGCCCAGUCGUGGGGGAUAACGUAGCGAAAGCUACGCUAAUACCGCAUACGAUCUAAGGAUGAAAGCGGGGGAUCGCAAGACCUCGCGCGAUUGGAGCGGCCGAUGGCAGAUUAGGUAGUUGGUAGGGUAAAGGCCUACCAAGCCGACGAUCUGUAGCUGGUCUGAGAGGAUGAUCAGCCACACUGGGACUGAGACACGGACCAGACUCCUACGGGAGGCAGCAGUGGGGAAUUUUGGACAAUGGGCGCAAGCCUGAUCCAGCCAUUCCGCGUGCAGGAUGAAGGCCUUCGGGUUGUAAACUGCUUUUGUACAGAACGAAAAGGCUCUGGUUAAUACCCGGGGCUCAUGACGGUACUGUAAGAAUAAGCACCGGCUAACUACGUGCCAGCCGCCGCCGUAA
rnacentral:rRNA from 1 species